rnacentral:rRNA from 1 species
CAGCAGCCGCGGUAAUACGUAGGGUGCGAGCGUUAAUCGGAAUUACUGGGCGUAAAGCGUGCGCAGGCGGUUUUGUAAGACAGGCGUGAAAUCCCCGGGCUCAACCUGGGAAUGGCGCUUGUGACUGCAAGGCUGGAGUGCGGCAGAGGGGGAUGGAAUUCCGCGUGUAGCAGUGAAAUGCGUAGAUAUGCGGAGGAACACCGAUGGCGAAGGCAAUCCCCUGGGCCUGCACUGACGCUCAUGCACGAAAGCGUGGGGAGCAAACAGGAUUAGAUACCCUGGUAGUCCACGCCCUAAACGAUGUCAACUGGUUGUUGGGUCUUUGCUGACUCAGUAACGAAGCUAACGCGUGAAGUUGACCGCCUGGGGAGUACGGCCGCAAGGUUGAAACUUAAAGGAAUUGGCGGG